ensembl:snRNA U4 U4 spliceosomal RNA
AGCUUUGCGCAGUGGCAGCAUCGUAGCCAAUGAGGGUUAUCCGAGGCGCGAUUAUUGCUAAUUGAAAACUUUUCCCUAAAAAGUUAAACAUACAAGUACUGUAUGGUACAGCAAAUCAACUUCUAGGUAUAUACCU